rnacentral:rRNA from 1 species
GACGAACGCUGGCGGCGUGCUUAACACAUGCAAGUCGAACGGAAAGGCCCUGCUUUUGUGGUGUUCUCGAUUGGCGAUCGCGUGAGUAACACGUGAGUAACCUGCCCUUCACUUUGGUAUAACUUCAGGAAACUGGGGCUAAUACCGGAUAGGAGCUCCUGCUGCAUUGUGGGGGUUGGAAAUUUUCGGCGGUUGGGGAUGGACUCGCGGCUUAUCAGCUUGUUGGUGGGGUAGUGGCUGACCAAGGCUUUGACGGGUAGCCGGCCUGAGAGGGUGACCGGCGACAUGGGGACUGAGAUACGGACCAGACUGCUACGGGAGGCAGUAGUGGGGAAUAUUGCACAAUGGGCGGAAGCCUGAGGAAGAAACGCCGCGUGCGGGAUGACGGCCUGCGGGUUGUAAACAGCUGUAGCCUGUGACGAAGCGUGAGUGACGGUAAUGGGUAAAGAAGCACCGGCUAACUACGUG